rnacentral:lncRNA from 1 species
AAAAGACACAAACUCUAAACCUUAAAAACUCACACUUUGUAAACAACACGGUUUAGAAUACAUGAGUAGAAUAGCUUGAGGCUUCACAUAUUUAUAGUCUUCAAUUGUCUUGAUGGGCAAGCUAGGUCUUCAGACAAAUACAGCUGUAGGAAUUGUGGCCAACCCUAAAUUAUUUCCAGAAAUAUAAUUCAUGUUGUACCAAACAAAAAAAA